UAAGGAAUAUUGGUCAAUGGACGCAAGUCUGAACCAGCCAUGCCGCGUGAAGGAUGAAGGUCCUCUGGAUUGUAAACUUCUUUUAUCUGGGACGAAAACGGGAUUUUUAUCUCAAUUGACGGUACCAGAGGAAUAAGCACCGGCUAACUCCGUGCCAGCAGCCGCGGUAAUACGGAGGAUCCGAGCGUUAUCCGGAUUUAUUGGGUUUAAAGGGUGCGCAGGCGGGAUGUUAAGUCGGCGGUGAAAUUUUGCAGCUCAACUGUAAAAGUGCCUUCGAUACUGGCCUCCUUGAGUGUGGAUGAAGUAGGCGGAAUUUGUGGUGUAGCGGUGAAAUGCUUAGAUAUCACGAGGAACACCCGUGACGAAAGCGGCAUUCUGGCCCUCACCUGACGCUGAGGUGCGAAAGCGUGGGUAGCAAACA
rnacentral:rRNA from 1 species